rnacentral:lncRNA from 1 species
UUUGGAGCAGAGCUUCUUCGGCAGCCCCAGGUCUCCCGGGAUCUUCCUCGGUGUCCUGCGGAGGCUCUGGCUCCAGCGUGGGCUCCAGCGCAGGCUGGGCUUCCGGCUGGGCUUCAGCGCUCCGGCCAGGCCCAAGGCGAGGCGGCUUGACCGGGGUGGGCGGUGGCGCUGCAGGGCCUUUCCGGCCCGAAAGGGCCCUUCGGAGGCUCUGUACCUUCUGCAAUCCGGUGCGCCGCAGCCGCUGGGCCCUGGACUCCACCGGCUCCUCGUCCGAGCUCUCUCCAACUUCGGCCUCCAGCUGCUCUGGGCCCAGCUCGGACUGGUCCGCCGGGCCCAAGGGCUCUGGUGCCUUCUGGAAAGCGCUGGCUGGGACUUCACCCUCCUCCUGCAUGUGACGGACACAGCACUGAUCCUGGCAGCUCCUUACCCCCAGCAGCCCGAAACUCACUCCUUAAUUACACAAGGGAAACCUUUUACCUCCGCAGCCAGAGUCUGGGGGGAAAGGCAGGCGUGGGAAGAUGGGUUCUCUACCUGGCCAGUGCCAUGUUGCCUGUUUCUUUACUGUAACUGUGGUGACAAAGAAAAGGGAAGAUGGAGCCUCCAUGUUGAACAUACCUGGCCCCCAGCACUAACUCCCUCUCUGGAUAUCUGGAACAAGGAGGACCUUAAACUUAACAAUAAAGCCAAUGAUGGUUCUACCAGUCUCCCCAAAGCCUCAAGUUUAAAAGCCAUAUGAACUGGCUGAUAGUGGAAAAUGGAAGCCAUGAGGUUGAAAAGUGAAUCCUCAAAGGAAAAAUGGAAACUACUCUUGAACUUGUUGGGAUUUGAAAUUUCCUCAGGAAAUCAGAUUAGAGUACUACCUGGUGAAGCCUGGAGGACCUACCAAGAAAAGCAAACUUGGAUCUUUGCAAGGUUAGAAGAACGAAUGGGAUCCAAGAAAAAGACUGGUCAUAUUCAACGGCUAAGAGCGUUGGAGAAGGCCUGUGGAGUCUCAGCAGGUCAGGUCCAUGACUCAUGAGUAGACACCUGUGUUUCUACUGCCUGGUGCCAUAAUCAUAAACAAGGUGAGCAGGGGCAAAUAAGAUCCUAGUUCAGUACUAUUCACUAUAAAUAUAAUGUAUGUAAUUUAAAAUUUUCUAGUAGCCAUAUUUUAAAAUUUUUUUAAUGAAAUUAACUUUUAAAAGAUAUUUAGUUUAACUCAAUAUAUCCAAAAUAUUGCCAUUUUAACAUGUAAUCAUAUUUGUUAGGUAUUAAUUAGAUAUUUUACAUUCUUUUAGGUCUCUGAAAUCUGGUAUAUAUUUUAUAUUUAUAGAACAUCUCAAUUUGCAUAUUAAAUGUUCAUUAGAAA